rnacentral:rRNA from 1 species
AAGCGGGAGACGAACCACAGGGAUUACCUCAGUAACGGCGAGUGAAGCGGUAACAGCUCAAAUUUGAAAUCUGGCCUCACGGUCCGAGUUGUAAUUUGUAGAGGAUGCUUCGAGCAUGGUCUGGCCUAAGUUCCUUGGAACAGGACGUCAUAGAGGGUGAGAAUCCCGUAUGCGGCCAGGUGCCUACGCUCAUGUGAAGCUCCUUCGACGAGUCGAGUUGUUUGGGAAUGCAGCUCAAAAUGGGUGGUAAAUUUCAUCUAAAGCUAAAUAUUGGCCAGAGACCGAUAGCGCACAAGUAGAGUGAUCGAAAGAUGAAAAGCACUUUGGAAAGAGAGUUAAACAGUACGUGAAAUUGUUGAAAGGGAAGCGCUUGCAACCAGACUUGCGCGCGGCCGAUCAUCCGGUGUUCUCACCGGUGCACUCGGCCGUGCUCAGGCCAGCAUCGGUUUUGGCGGCUGGAUAAAGGCCCUAGGAAUGUAGCUCCUCUCGGGGAGUGUUAUAGCCUAGGGUGCAAUGCAGCCUGCUGGGACCGAGGACCGCGCUUCGGCUAGGAUGCUGGCGUAAUGGUUGUAAGCGGCCCGUCUUGAAACACGGACCAAGGAGUCUAACAUCUAUGCGAGUGUUUGGGUGUCAAACCCAUACGCGUAAUGAAAGUGAACGGAGGUGAGAACCCUUAAGGGUGCAUCAUCGACCGGUCCUGAAGUUUACGGAAGGAUCUGAGUAAGAGCAUAGCUGUUGGGACCCGAAAGAUGGUGAACUAUGCCUGAAUAGGGUGAAGCCAGAGGAAACUCUGGUGGAGGCUCGCAGCGGUUCUGACGUGCAAAUCGAUCGUCAAAUUUGGGUAUAGGGGCGAAAGACUAAUCGAACCAUCUAGUAGCUAGAGUCCUGCCGAAGUUUCCCUCAGGA